rnacentral:rRNA from 1 species
ACUCAAAUGAAUAGACGGGGAGGCGCACAACCGGUGGAGCGUGUGGUUCAAUUCGAGACGAAGCGAAAAACCUCACCAGGGCUUGACAUGUUGUCGUACAGUCCGCCAGAAACGGCGGACAAUCCGCAAGGAUGAUAACACAGGUGUUGCAUGGCUGUCGUCAGCUCUAGGCGUGAGCUGUAGGCUUAAGUGCCAUAUAGAGCGCAACUCUUGUCCAAUGUUACAUAUUCAUUGGAGACAGCCCCGCCUUUGGCGGGGAGGAAGGGAAGCACGACGUCAAGUCAGCACGACCCUUAUGCCCUGGGCUACACACACCCUACAAUGGCGAAUAACAAUGAGUUGCAAGCCGGUAACGGCAAGCUAAUCUCUGAAAUUUCGCCCCAGUUCAGAUUGGGGUCUGAAACCCGACCCCAUGAAGUCGGAAUCGGUAGUAAUCGCGGAUCAGCAGGCCGCGGUGAAUACGUUCUCGCCUCUUGUACACACCGCCCGU